GGAUGUGAGGGCGAUCUGGCUGCAACAUUUGUCACCCCAUUGAUCGCCAGGGUUGAUUCGGCUGAUCUGGCUGGCUAGGCGGGUGUCCCGUUCCUCCCUCACUGCUCCAUGUGCGUCCCUCUCGAAGCUGCGCGCUCAGUUGAAGAGGACGACCUUCCCCGAUAGAGGAGGACCGUUCUUCGGUCAAGGGUAUAGGAGUAGCUGCGCUCCCCUGCUAGAACCUCCAAACAAGCUCUCAAGGUCCAUUUGUAGGAGAACGUAGGGUAGUCAAGCUUCCAAGACUCCAGACACAUCCAAAUGAGGCACUGCACGUGGCAGUCUGCCUUUAUUU
rnacentral:snRNA from 1 species